UUACUUUCUCAAAAUGAAAUUAUUUCGUUCAUAUCUACUUGUAAUUUAUUAAGACCUAAAGUGACUGCAUCUAACUAUUUUGAAAUUGAUCGUCCAUUAUUUGUAACUUUAUGUAGUACUGUAAUAACGUAUGUAAUAAUUUUAAUCCAGAACGAAUUG